rnacentral:rRNA from 1 species
GAGCCCGCGGCCUAUCAGCUUGUUGGUGGGGUGAUGGCCUACCAAGGCGACGACGGGUAGCCGGCCUGAGAGGGCGACCGGCCACACUGGGACUGAGACACGGCCCAAACUCCUACGGGAGGCAGCAGUGGGGAAUAUUGCACAAUGGGCGAAAGCCUGAUGCAGCGACGCCGCGUGAGGGAUGACGGCCUUCGGGUUGUAAACCUCUUUCAGCAGGGAAGAAGCGAAAGUGACGGUACCUGCAGAAGAAGCGCCGGCUAACUACGUGCCAGCAGUUGCGGUAAUACGUAGGGCGCAAGCCCCCCCCCGGAAUUAUUGGGCGUAAAGAGCUCGUAGGCGGCUUGUCACGUCGGAUGUGAAAGCCCGGGGCUUAACCCCGGGUCUGCAUUCGAUACGGGCAGGCUAGAGUUCGGUAGGGGAGAUCGGAAUUCCUGGUGUAGCGGUGAAAUGCGCAGAUAUCAGGAGGAACACCGGUGGCGAAGGCGGAUCUCUGGGCCCGAUACUGACGCUGAGGAGCGAAAGCGUGGGAGCGAACAGGAUUAGAUACCCUGGUAGUCCACGCCGUAAACGUUGGGAACUAGGUGUGGGCGACAUUCCACGUCGUUCGGUGCCGCAGCUAACGCA